UACAGAGGGUGCGAGCGUUAAUCGGAAUUACUGGGCGUAAAGCGUGCGUAGACGGUUGUCUAAGUCGGAUGUGAAAUCCCCGGGCUCAACCUGGGAAUUGCAUUCGAGACUGAACAGCUAGGGUGCGGAAGAGGGAAGCGGAAUUUCCGGUGUAGCAGUGAAAUGCGUAGAUAUCGGAAGGAACAUCAGUGGCGAAAGCGGCUUCCUGGUCCAGCACAGACGUUCAGGCACGAAAGCGUGGGGAGCAAACAGG
rnacentral:rRNA from 1 species